AGCGGGGCAGGGCCGGCGGGGGAGGGGCUCACCUUUCUGGCCGCUGAGCGCCGCGUACCAGGAGAGCGAGAAGAAGGCGCACAGGCAGAAGAGCAGCAGCGUCAGGAAGGCGCCAUUGCGGAGCCUCAUCUCCUCAGGAGCACAGUCAAUAGGAUGUGGCCACGCCAUCACGGCCAUAGCCGACCCUCCACACCUCUGGUCUGCUCUGCGGUGACCAUCACUGCCAUUGGGAACCCUGUGACAGGCACGGAGUGGGAGGUGGUGGUUCUGUACUUUUGGAUACACUGACCAAGACCAAAGUCAGGACUUACCUGGUGGUACCGUGGAUAAGAAUCUGCCUGCUAAUGCAGGGGACAUGGGUUCAAUCCCCAGGAAGGUGUCAAAUGCCGAGGAGUGACUGAGCCCACACACAGCUACUGAGCCACAACUACUGAACCCAACUACUGCAACAACUAGUUCGCCUGCCUAGAGCCUGUGCUCUGAGACAAGAGAAGCCACCGCAAUGAGAAGCCUGAGCACUGCAACCAGAGAAAGCUCACGCAAAGCAAGGAAGUCCCAGCACAGACAAAAAUAAAUUUAAAGAGAAGAAAAAAGACCAGCGUCAACUGGUGUAAGCCAUCUCACGAGCCAGCACUAGGCCUGCAGGGACCCAGAGGCUUUCAGGCAGGCUCCUGCCUUCAGGUGACUCCAGUGGGCAUGUCCAUGCCCAUCCCUGACCUGGGGGCUACAGAUGCUGUCUAGCUAAGCUUGGGUCAUGUGCAUAUUCCACCCUAUCCACAGUGAUAGGGGAGAAACGAAUCCUCAAAGGAAAGUUUCCAUCCAGAAAAGGGACAGAAAUGGAACAGGUGAGCGUGAGACAGGCUGAGACCUGGGACCCUUUCCAGCAGUGCCUGCACUCAAACACCUCCUCCAGCAACAGACUACAAAGAAACUAUAACGGACUGGAAGUAACUGCAUGCAUGCACGAUUGGGGCCAAUUAUGAGCAAUAGGAUACAAAAAAAGCCAAAACCCAGCUGUCGCUUCUAAGGUGCCUGGAGCAAAAGUUGGGUAUCACAUGAUCCCUGCACAUGGGAGCAGCAGAGUAGGCAGACAGCUAAGCCACCCUUCCAGGGUGGAUCCACCAACCCUCUCCACCCUCAUCCCAUGUUAAGUGUCGGGUUUUCGAAGGGAGCCGGGAAGAGGAGCGACACUGACCGGACCCUGACAAGCAGCGGCCGUCCGUUCCACGUGAUCCUAAACUCCCAACCCGGUCAGGAGAGCGCCUCUCCCCGCCCCCGCCCCUCCCGCGGCUCGGCCGGAGAGGCGCUCCUGAGAGUCUGCGGCCCCCAGUCCGGCUGGGCCCCGGCACCACCUGCUUCUCCUCCCCCUCUGCCCGGAGCGGCUGUCCCCCAGCCCGGAAAGCCUAGGCACCUGCGUGGGUCUCCGCCUGGGGCACCAGAUCCCGGCAAGGGUCGCCCCCCCAUUUCAGCUUCCGCUCCCCACACCUCCUGACUCCUGCCUUGAUUCUCCCCGCCUUCGGCAGUCAAGCUGGUCCUUUCCUUCGGAGGGGCGCCCGGGGGUAGGGCUCCAGUGGGGGCUGGAACGGCCCGCGAGGGGCGGGGCCCUCGGAUCCCAACCGCGACCCUCCUCCGAGCGCCCCGCCCACCCUCCGGCCUGGGGCAGGAUCCACGUCACCUCGUCCAGCGUUUUAGGGCACCUGCGACCCUGCGGCCGACUACACCACUUCUGACCCGCGGGUCUGCCGCAUGGGGCGAGGUGUUCGCUCCCUGUCACUGCAGGAAAACCGAAGCCCCUGUCGGCUUUUCAGGCCGGCAGUGACCCCGCCCGGCACCGGCAGUCCAAGGACACGGACUGGAGAAGGGUCUGGCUGGCGGAUGCCGCUUGGGGUCGGCUCCAGCCCCCAGGGGCCCGCUGUCCCCCUCUAGUGACCCUGCAGCCCGAGUUCCGGCCGCACCCCUUCCGGGCUGCCUGUUCCCGGCAGGCGCGCUGGGCCUGGGUCUCAGCGGGAAAGGCCCGUGGCGCCGCCCCCCCCCCGGCCUCCCCGGCUUCUGCGUAGGUGAGCGCUGUCUCCACGGCCCCUGCGCAACGUCCCACUCCGCGCGCGCCGCCCUCACGACCCCCACGACCCCCACAGGGCCUGACGGCCCCCAGCUCCCGUCUAGUGCGAGCAGCCCAGCCAGAAGGGAGCCAACAGCCAGGCAGGAGGGCCCCGGGGGCUCCCAAGGCCCACAGCUUGGCAUCACCUAACUCUCCAAUCUGGUCUUCUCCGUAGCUUCAUCUCCUUCCCCCAGGGCCACUGACUUUAUGAGCUCCUUUUCUUUCAGAAGCUACCCUCCUGCCCCCAAGAUUCCCUGCGGGCUGAGCUGUGCGCUUUUGCCAGAGGGCUAAAAAGGGGGUGAUACCCAAUGCCUGGGGAUUUUCCCGAGGGUGUGGUCAGGGAAGGCCCUACUGAGGUGACAUUUCGAGUGGGAGAUUACAGUGGGAGGCAGUGGGGAAAGCGGUCUAGGAAAGGGGAGGAGCCAGGAAAAAGUCACCAGGUGGAAUGAUUUGGAAGGGAGAGGGUAUGUCCCUUCCUUGUUAGGGAGAGGAAGAGAACAGCAGACAGGUCCUAGGGCCCUGUGGCCUGGAGGCACCCUACUCAUCACACCGUUUUCUCAUGGAGAAAGGAACUCAAACCUUGGGCCUAAUGUUGGGGUGGGGAAAGCUUGAUUUCCUGUAAUCUUCCAUAUAAAUAAUGGCCCAGAGCAGCUCA